rnacentral:rRNA from 1 species
UACGUAGGGGGCAAGCGUUGUCCGGAUUUAUUGGGCGUAAAGAGCUCGUAGGUGGUUCGGUAAGUCGGAUGUGAAAUCUCCAGGCUCAACCUGGAGGGGUCAUUCGAUACUGCCGUGACUAGAGUUCGGUAGGGGAGUGUGGAAUUCCUGGUGGAGCGGUGAAAUGCGCAGAUAUCAGGAGGAACACCCGUAGCGAAGGCGGCGCUCUGGGCCGAUACUGACACUGAGGAGCGAAAGCGUGGGGAGCGAACAGG